CUUAAACAUGAAAACAGAGAACAUAUUAUUCAGAUUCUAUAAUGCUACUUCAUCUCAAGAGAUGAAGAAGUCAAAUCUAAAAAAUAGAUCUAGUGAUAUUUUAAAAUUCAAAUUCAAGGCCAUGGCCGGAGCCACCUGGCAACCAUGGCCAACCAGUCCGGUUCCAGUUCAUCCCCCGGCUAUGCCCUGAACUGCCGGUUCCAGCCUAAACCAGACCAGUGGCCAAGCCUAGGUCAAGGGACUAAUUAGUUAAAGCAUGGGGUAAGAAAAGAAAAUUCUAAGAUACCU
rnacentral:misc_RNA from 1 species